rnacentral:rRNA from 1 species
GGACUGCAGUCUGCAACUCGACUGCACGAAGUCGGAAUUGCUAGUAAUCGCGGAUCAGCAUGCCGCGGUGAAUACGUUCCCGGGCCUUGUACACACCGCCCGUCACACCAUGAGAGUCGGGAACACCCGAAGUCCGUAGUCUAACCGCAAGGAGGACGCGGCCGAAGGUGGGCUUGAUAAUUGGGGUGAAGUCGUAACAAGGUAGC